rnacentral:rRNA from 1 species
AUUGAACGCUGGCGGCAUGCCUUACACAUGCAAGUCGAACGGCAGCACGGGUGCUUGCACCUGGUGGCGAGUGGCGAACGGGUGAGUAAUACAUCGGAACAUGUCCUGUAGUGGGGGAUAGCCCGGCGAAAGCCGGAUUAAUACCGCAUACGAUCUACGGAUGAAAGCGGGGGACCUUCGGGCCUCGCGCUAUAGGGUUGGCCGAUGGCUGAUUAGCUAGUUGGUGGGGUAAAGGCCUACCAAGGCGACGAUCAGUAGCUGGUCUGAGAGGACGACCAGCCACACUGGGACUGAGACACGGCCCAGACUCCUACGGGAGGCAGCAGUGGGGAAUUUCGGACAAUGGGCGAAAGCCUGAUCCAGCAAUGCCGCGUGUGUGAAGAAGGCCUUCGGGUUGUAAAGCACUUUUGUCCGGAAAGAAAUCCUUGGCCCUAAUACGGUCGGGGGAUGACGGUACCGGAAGAAUAAGCACCGGCUAACUACGUG